UACAGAGGGUGCGAGCGUUAAUCGGAAUUACUGGGCGUAAAGCGCACGUAGGUGGCGACGUAAGUCGGGUGUGAAAGCCUCGGGCUCAACCUGGGAAUUGCAUUCGAGACUGCAUUGCUGGAGUACGGAAGAGGAAGGCGGAAUUCCCGGUGUAGCGGUGAAAUGCGUAGAUAUCGUCCAGAACACCGAUAGCGAAGGCAGCUUACUAAAGAGUAACUGACGCUGAGGCACGAAAGUGUGGGGAUCAAACAGG
rnacentral:rRNA from 1 species